rnacentral:rRNA from 1 species
CCUACGGGUGGCUGCAGUGGGGAAUCUUGCGCAAUGGGCGAAAGCCUGACGCAGCGACGCCGCGUGCGGGAGGAAGCUCUUCGGGGUGUAAACCGCUGUCGGGAGGGAAGAACGGCCAUGCGAGGAAAUGCGUGUGGUGUGACGGUACCUCCAAAGGAAGCACCGGCUAACUCUGUGCCAGCAGCCGCGGUAAUACAGAGGGUGCGAGCGUUGUUCGGAAUUACUGGGCGUAAAGCGCGCGCAGGCGGCUCUUUAAGUCUGUCGGUCAAACGCCG